UACAUGGGGUGCAAACGUUGCUCGGAAUCACUGGGCGUAAAGCGCACGUAGGCGGAUUGCUAAGUCAGGGGUGAAAUCCUGGAGCUCAACUCCAGAACUGCCUUUGAUACUGGCGACCUUGAGUCCGGGAGAGGUGAGUGGAACUGCGAGUGUAGAGGUGAAAUUCGUAGAUAUUCGCAAGAACACCAGUGGCGAAGGCGGCUCACUGGCCCGGUACUGACGCUGAGGCACGAAAGCGUGGGGAGCAAACAGG
rnacentral:rRNA from 1 species